CGGCGAGUGAAGCGGCAACAGCUCAAAUUUGAAAUCUGGCCCCCCCGGGGCCCGAGUUGUAAUUUGUAGAGGGUGCUUCGGCGUCGGCCCGGGCCUAAGUUCCUUGGAACAGGACGUCACAGAGGGUGAGAAUCCCGUACGUGGCCCCCGGCCUUCGCCAUGUGAAGCCCCUUCGACGAGUCGAGUUGUUUGGGAAUGCAGCUCUAAAUGGGAGGUAAAUUUCUUCUAAAGCUAAAUACCGGCCAGAGACCGAUAGCGCACAAGUAGAGUGAUCGAAAGAUGAAAAGCACUUUGGAAAGAGAGUCAAAAAGCACGUGAAAUUGUUGAAAGGGAAGCGCUUGCAGCCAGACUUGCCCGCAGUUGCUCACCCAGGCUUACGCCUGGUGCACUCUUCUGCGGGCAGGCCAGCAUCGGUUCGGGCGGUCGGAUAAAGGCCCCGGGAAUGUGGCCCCUCUCGGGGGGUGUUAUAGCCCGGGGUGCAAUGCGGCCAGCCCGGACCGAGGACCGCGCUCCGGCUAGGAUGCUGGCGUAAUGGCCGCAAGCGGCCCGUCUUGAAACACGGACCAAGGAGUCUAACAUCUAUGCGAGUGUUUGGGUGUCAAGCCCGGGCGCGCAAUGAAAGUGAACGGAGGUGGGAACCCCUCGGGGCGCACCAUCGACCGAUCCUGAUGUCUUCGGAAGGAUUUGAGUAAGAGCAUAGCUGUUGGGACCCGAAAGAUGGUGAACUAUGCCUGAAUAGGGUGAAGCCAGAGGAAACUCUGGUGGAGGCUCGCAGCGGUUCUGACGUGCAAAUCGAUCGUCAAA
rnacentral:rRNA from 1 species